AAUUUUCCACUGACCGGGGAGUGGGGAGGAUGGCUUCAGGAUCACCUUUAUCGUGCAUUUCACCUGUGUUGUGUUAGAUUCUUUGCCACCCCAAGGACUGUAGCCCACCAGCCUCUACUGUCCAUGAAAUUCUCCAGGAAGAAGACUGGAGUGGGUUGUCAUUCCCUUCUCCAGGGGAUCUGCCUGACCCAGAUAUUGAAUCUGAGUCUCCUGCAUUGCAGUCAGAUUCUUUACCAUCUGAGCCACGAAGGAAGCCAUUUUGCACUUUAUUUCUAGUAUUAUUAUGUCAGCGCCACCUCAGAGCAUCGGGUAUUAGAUCCUGGAGGUUGGGGACUGCUGGACUAAACUAAACAAGAACUGGCCACCCGGGUUCCCUCCCAGCCAUCUGCUUUCAGGCAUGGUCUGCGUCAGCCCACUCGGCUUACGUGAGGAUGGAGCCACCUCUGCAGUCAUCUGAAAGCCCCCACAUUCUUUUCAUAGGUGGGCCAUGGGAGUCGCCUCCCUCCCUGCCUGGCCCGUGAAUGCCACCUUUACAGUGACUCUUUUACAUUCACUGGCCUGAGGCAAAGCAUUUUCCCCUUGGGUCAUGAUUAAUGGAGCCCAUCCCCUGAAAGCAGAAACAAACAAAUGCUUGAGCUCCUCACUGAGCUCACUUAUUAGCUCGCAGCUGUUGUGAAUGGAAUACCGGGCAGGUGUGUCUGUUUGGAGGAGAUGGAGGUUGGGACCAGGUUAAUAGAAAGCUGAGACGCUGGCGCAAUGGCUGAUGGGUCUCUGAGUAGCAGGUGAUGGGGGAGAAGGUUCUGGGAGGACCCGUCUGCCAAAUACAGAGACGUGCUCAGACGCCCCUGUAGAGUCUUCUUUGCAAACAGCUACUGACGGGGGGCUUCUGGAAAUGCCAGACUCGCUGGUGGGGCAGGCGGCCUCCUGCAUGACUUCCUGCACAGGGUCAGCUGAUCCUCACCUCCCCGUGGGCACCAGAUACGUCUAUCACUUUUCCACUAACACCAGCACCAGCCUGCAGGGGGCCCAGGUGGGGGGGAGUGGCCUUGGUCUGCAAGGCUUGGUCACCCUUGAUGUGCUUGGUCCUUGCCAGAUGGCCUUACAGCUCCAGCACUUCCAGCUGACAUCCAUCCUGGGGUCCAAGGUGGAAGUUCUGAAGCAGUCGGAGAGUCUGAGGUAAGACGCUGGGCCUUGCUCCCCAUGGGGCUCCCUUUUCCAAUGGCCACUGGGUGCACCAGAUUGUAUUGAAAGAAUCCAGUUAGGGUAACCCCCUUACAUCAGAAAAAGGCCAUUUUGGAUUGAAGUUCAAAGAGGAUUCCAUCUUUGUUUUGACCUUGUAAACACCCAGACCAUUGAUGAGGACCAUUGGGGGUUGUUGUGAUGUGGGAGCCUUGAGGGGCUCCAAAGAGCUUCAGAUGGCCUUCCCUUAUCUGGAGGAAGGAACUCUCCCCCCAUAUUUUCCUGGAUGUCACUCUCAGCAUGUCCAGAUUUUAUGUCUGCCCAGCACCCUCUGGGCUUCAUCUUUAAGAACAUUCUGGAAGACACUGGGCACACAUUGAGGCCUGCCCUUCUCCUCCUCCUCCCUGCUGAGAUGGGGGUUUUCCCUGGAGACCCAUAGCUUCUUUCUCCCUCCCCAAGCCAAGCUCCCCUUGGUGACCCAGCCAAGCCUGGAAUUCUCCCUUGGCGUGUUUCCCAGGGACUCCUGAAGUGGCUUCCGGGCCACAAAGCUCAGUCCAGCCGCCAGUCUGAAGACAAGCCCAUCUCCGC
rnacentral:lncRNA from 1 species